rnacentral:misc_RNA from 1 species
UUGAUAUUGUAUUUAAUGGUGAAAACCAUACCAGAUAUUAGUUACAUCCAUGGCAGGCGUGUCCCUACACCACACUAAUGGCUAAUAGGCUAAUUUUUAUCUUCUCAGAAACCCCAAUAAAAGCAUGAGCUUAGCUGCUGGAGAUUUCUCAGUCUUUGGUUGAAAGUGAAAGAGGAAACAGAUUUUAAUAACCCAUAUAACAAACACUUGUACAUGAAGCUGAAGCUCUCCACUAUUAUCAUUAAUUGCUCCUAACAACACCUAAUCACCCUUUUGGCCUCUUCUUCUAACUUCUAAUCCACUGGUGUUCUAUAUUAUGAUAUUUGCCCCUCCAUUUAUUUCCCACCAAAUCCUCUUUCUUUCUCUCUCCUUCAACUUCAAGCCUUAGAAAAAAGAGAGAAAAUAAUUAAAGAAACAAUGGGAAACAGUCAGGGACUUAAUGAUUCUCACGUCCCACAAAACCCAUUUCUUGAAUCCAACUCUACCUUUUCAAAUCUCUCAACGACUGCAGCAACAGCAAAUCUUGUUUUGUUUUCUUGAAGCAAAAAUACCCAUAAAAUAAAGAAAAGAAAUCAUUUUUUUUCUUGGGUUUUUGUUUUUAAUAUUGCAAGAAAACGCCCUUUUCAUUGCCAGCCAUGACCGAGGUCCUUCACUCCCCUUCCCAUUUCCCUUCUUCGCCAAGCACCACUCUUGUUUCUAAUUCUUCUUCUUGCGCCCCUGACGCAACUUCCUUAUCCUGCGCAUCCUCCAGGCAAUUUCCCUCAAUACAAAGUAAUGGUGGUGGUGGUGGUGAUGCUCAGGAGGAGGAGGGUUCUCCCGUGACUUUGUGUGACCCAGAUGAGGACUUUGUGAAGGCCAGAGAGAAGAAACAGAGGGAACAGCUUUCUUUGUUGGCUCUGGUCGUCACCCUUUUUAGGAAAUCUUUGGUGGCUUGCAAGAGUGAUAGAAGGGAGCUUUGUGCCAUGGAGAUCGGUUGGCCAACCAAUGUUCGCCAUGUGGCUCAUGUUACCUUCGACAGGUUCAAUGGUUUCCUGGGCUUGCCAGUGGAGUUCGAGCCUGAAGUGCCUAGGAGGGCUCCCAGUGCUAGUGCAACUGUCUUUGGAGUUUCGACAGAAUCCAUGCAGCUGUCUUUUGACUCCAGAGGGAACAGUGUACCAAUGAUACUCUUGUUAAUGCAAAGACACUUGUAUGCUCAGGGAGGCUUGCAGGUGCAUUUCCUUGAUAUUUUCUCUGUUAGCAUCAAUGGGCUUGCCACAAAGAGUAGGGAAUUGUGGAAAAAGAAAAGGAAAAGCUUUUGGCAAAAAUUGUGUGUGAUUUAUGUGAAGAUGCUUGCUUUAUUUAUAGUUGGAGUUUAGUUUGAUUUGAUUUGGGUGGUCAUACUCAAAUUGUUAAUUACUGCAUUCAGGCUGAAGGUAUUUUCAGAAUUAAUGCAGAAAAUAGUCAGGAGGAGUAUGUGAGGGAUCAAUUGAAUAGAGGAGUUGUACCAGAAGGCAUUGAUGUACACUGUUUGGCAGGACUUAUCAAGGUAUCUGCAGCACAAUUUAAUUUAAUUUCAUUUCUCUUUUAAAUGCAUUCUGCUUUUGACAUAUUUGGUCUUUGCGUGGAGCUACUCAUUCAUCCAAUAUGAGUUGAAAUGUUUGCUGAGUGGUGAUAGAACUAGAAGUUACAUCAAGCCAGGGAAUGUAUCACUUGUAAUUGUAAUGGUUAAUCAAUCAGGGAAGGAUUGUUAAGAGUGGGAAAGGAGGAACAUGGGGAGUAUUGAAAGAAAGACCACCAUAUUGAUCACCCAUGUGAUGCACCUGUCGAGCUAUAUGCUUGUUAGAAUUGAACUAAUCCAAAUGAAAAUUUAUGUUAAAAAAGUGAGGUGAGGAGUUUGGAAAUCUGAAUGCAUGGAAGAAGAUUUUUUUUCUUAUUAGUGUUUAUGUUAUAAAAUCAACCUAAUUUUUAUUAUGAACUUCAUAAUCAUGUAAAACUGUAAUGUUUUGAUGACUAUAUUGAUAAUAUGUUGGUUGCUGGAUACAACUCAUGCCUCUGAGAGGAAAACAUGGCCAAGAUUAUCAGUAAUAACUAAUGUGUGUGGUAUCAAUCAGGCUGAAUCAGGUUAUGCAAUUCUGCACACAACACCAUAAAAUUAUCGAUUGUUAUGGGUUAUAAUUUCUGUUUAACCUGGGUUAGGUACAUUUUAACUGGGACAUUAUUGUUUUUGCUGCCUUAUUAAGCAAGACGUUAAAAAAGAUGUGUCAUUGUUAAAAGCUUUGUGUUCGUCUUACAAAAUUAUUCUCUGUUGAACCAUUUCAAUAAGAUUAGAUCUGUGCUUCAUUAUUAAGUGUUGCAAUGUAGAUUCAUUACAAGUACAACUCUGGCUUUUGCAGUUGAUCUCUAUUGUUCCUCCAUCACCAUGAUUAACUUUUUGCCACCACAACUGCAGUAGCCAUACAUCCCUUCGCUAAUUUUCUUGUGCAUUACCAACCUCAUUCCUACUAAUGGUGCCAUGCCAUCACUAUCACUCAAGGCUGCAAACUUUGAGCCUGCCAUUUUUCAAUAUCCUUGUCCUCUCAUCUGACAGCCUCUUCAACACUGCCCUCACAUAGCCGCAAUACCUCCACUAAACCAAUCCUAUUAUUGCAUCAUUUCCUUAAUACCACAACUAGACGAAUACAGUCAAUAUCACCAAUAAUUAUGAAUGGUCUGGCCAUAAUAUUGAGACCUUACAGUAGAAAUUAAAAUGGUAACUUGUUUAUUUAGUUUGCAUAACAGGACUGUUCUACUCUGAAUUUUUGGCCCCGUGUUACUUUUUCUCAUUUGGACUAACUGGAAAACGAGUAUUAAGCAUGCCAUAUAUAAAAUGAUAAUACUACUCUCUUAAGUGGCAUUUUUCUUGAAUUACAUUAUUACAUGUGUUAAUUUUUCUAGCUUUGAUUUUAUAGUUAAUCUUGUUUGAUGUGAUAUUUUGAUAUCAUUGUUUUGUUUUCAAAAUUUCAUCUUUCUUUUCAUGGUUUUAGUAUUAUCGUAUGUGCAUUUGGGUGGGUACCGUCAAAGAGUGGGUGCUUAUUUUGUCACAACAUUGAUUCCUUCACAUUAUUUUGUGUCGAAUAUUCAUUUAUUACCUGGAGUAUGAUUAUUUCUCUAGGCUUGGUUUAGAGAGCUCCCAACUGGAGUUCUGGAUUCUCUAUCGCCUGAGCAAGUCAUGCAAUGCCAAACAGAAGAAGAUUGUGCUGAGCUUGCAAGGCGUCUGCCCCCUACAGAAGCUGCCCUACUGGAUUGGGCUGUCAAUCUGAUGGCCGAUGUUGUCCAGCAAGAACAUGUAAACAAGAUGAAUGCACGCAACAUAGCCAUGGUUUUUGCACCAAACAUG